rnacentral:rRNA from 1 species
GACGAACGCUGGCGGCGUGCUUAACACAUGCAAGUCGAACGAUGAAACCUAGCUUGCUAGGUCGAUUAGUGGCGAACGGGUGAGUAACACGUGACUAACCUGCCCCUUUCUCUGGGAUAACGCUCCGAAAGGAGUGCUAAUACCGGAUACUCACAUCGAGGCACAUGCCUUGAUGUGGAAAGUUUUUCGGAAAGGGAUGGAGUCGCGGCCUAUCAGCUUGUUGGUGAGGUAACGGCUCACCAAGGCGACGACGGGUAGCCGGCCUGAGAGGGGGACCGGCCACACUGGGACUGAGACACGGCCCAGACGCCUACGGGAGGCAGCAGUGGGGAAUAUUGCACAAUGGGCGCAAGCCUGAUGCAGCGACGCCGCGUGAGGGAUGAAGGUCUUCGGAUUGUAAACCUCUUUCAGUAGGGACGAAGCGAAAGUGACGGUACCUAAAGAAGAAGCACCGGCUAACUACGUGCCAGCCGCCGCGGUAA